ACUCACCCCAGCCAGGGCCUCAGGAAGGAGCAUUCAGGACACCUCCACCAUGGCCUGGACCAUGCUUUUCAUUGGCCUCCUUGCUCACUGCACAGGCUCUGUGGCCUCCUAUGUGCUGACGCAGCCAUCUUCCAUGUCAGUGUCUCUGGGAGAGACCAUCAGCCUGACAUGUGAUGGAAACAACAUUGGAGGUAGAAGAGUGCGCUGGUACCAGCAGAAGCCACCCCAGUGCCCCAUGCUGGUCAUGUAUAGUGAUAACAACCGGCCCUCGGGGAUUCCUGACCGGUUCUCCGGUGCCAACUCAGGCAACCCAGCCACACUGACCAUCACAGGUGCCCAGGAUGAGGACGAGGCCGACUAUUACUGUCAGGUGUGGGAUAGUAACAGUGCUCACUCACAGUGA